UUCUACGAAACAUAUU
rnacentral:sRNA from 1 species